rnacentral:rRNA from 1 species
AGAGUUUGAUCCUGGCUCAGGACGAACGCUGGCGGCGUGCUUAACACAUGCAAGUCGAACGGAGCCCAUCCGGUGGCAACACUGGUGAAGACUCAGUGGCGAACGGGUGCGGAACACGUGAGCAACCUGCCCCAAAGACCGGGAUAACACCGGGAAACUGGUGCUAAUACCGGAUACCCCCACGAGCUCGCAUGGGCUUGUGAGGAAAGGGUUUCCGCUUUGGGAGGGGCUCGCGGCCUAUCAGCUUGUUGGUGAGGUAACGGCUCACCAAGGCGACGACGGGUAGCUGGUCUGAGAGGACGAUCAGCCACACUGGGACUGAGACACGGCCCAGACUCCUACGGGAGGCAGCAGUGGGGAAUCUUGCGCAAUGGGCGAAAGCCUGACGCAGCAACGCCGCGUGGGGGAUGAAGGCCUUCGGGUUGUAAACCCCUUUCAGUGGGAACGAAAUUGACGGUACCCACAGAAGAAGCCCCGGCCAACUACGUGCCAGCAGCCGCGGUGAUACGUAGGGGGCGAGCGUUGUCCGGAUUUAUUGGGCGUAAAGAGCUCGUAGGCGGCUUGGUAAGUCGGGUGUGAAACCUCCAGGCUCAACCUGGAGACGCCACUCGAUACUGCCCUGGCUAGAGUCCGGUAGGGGAUCACGGAAUUCCUGGUGUAGCGGUGAAAUGCGCAGAUAUCAGGAGGAACACCAGUGGCGAAGGCGGUGAUCUGGGCCGGUACUGACGCUGAGGAGCGAAAGCGUGGGGAGCGAACAGGAUUAGAUACCCUGGUAGUCCACGCCGUAAACGUUGGGCACUAGGUGUGGGGCCUUAUCGACGGGUUCCGUGCCGCAGCUAACGCAUU